UACAGAGGGUGCGAGCGUUGUCCGGAAUCACUGGGCGUAAAGGGCGCGUAGGUGGCGACCCAAGUCGAUGGUGAAAGCUCGCCGCUCAACGGCGAGUCGGCCACCGAUACUGGGUUGCUGGAGCACUGUAGAGGCUCAUGGAAUUCCGGGUGUAGCGGUGGAAUGCGUAGAGAUCCGGAAGAACACCGGUGGCGAAGGCGGCCAACUGGACGAAUACUGACGCUGAGACUCGAAAGCGUGGGGAGCAAACAGG
rnacentral:rRNA from 1 species